rnacentral:rRNA from 1 species
GACGAACGCUGGCGGCGUGCCUAACACAUGCAAGUCGAGCGGAGAUCGAGGAGAGCUUGCUCAAAUUGAUUUUAGCGGCGGACGGGUGAGUAACGCGUGAGCAAUCUGUCCUACACAGGGGGAUAACAGCUGGAAACAGCUGCUAAUACCGCAUAAGACCACAGAACCACAUGGUACAGGGGUCAAAGAUUUAUCGGUGUAGGGUGAGCUCGCGUCCCAUUAGAUAGUUGGCGGGUAACGGCCCACCAAGGCGAUGACGGGUAGCCGGUCUGAGAGGAUGUCCGGCCACACUGGAACUGAGACACGGUCCAGACACCUACGGGUGGCAGCAGUCGAGAAUCAUUCACAAUGGGCGAAAGCCUGAUGGUGCGACGCCGCGUGGGGGAGGAAGGUCUUCGGAUUGUAAACCCCCGUCAUGUGGGAGCAAGACUUCGGUUUGAUAGUACCACAAGAGGAAGAGACGGCAAACUCUGUGCCAGCAGCCGACGG